rnacentral:rRNA from 1 species
UACGUAGGGGGCGAGCGUUGUCCGGAUUUAUUGGGCGUAAAGAGCGUGUAGGCGGCCAUGUAGGUCUGCUGUGAAAACUCGAGGCUCAACCUCGAGACGUCGGCGGAAACCAUCUGGCUAGAGUCCGGAAGAGGAGAGUGGAAUUCCUGGUGUAGCGGUGAAAUGCGCAGAUAUCAGGAAGAACACCCGUGGCGAAGGCGGCUCUCUGGGACGGUACUGACGCUGAGACGCGAAAGCGUGGGGAGCAAACAGG